rnacentral:rRNA from 1 species
GACGAACGCUGGCGGCGUGCUUAACACAUGCAAGUCGAACGGAAGGGCCCUGCUUUUGUGGGGUGCUCGAGUGGCGAACGGGUGAGUAACACGUGAGUAACCUGCCCUUGACUUUGGGAUAACUUCAGGAAACUGGGGCUAAUACCGGAUAGGAGCUCCUGCUGCAUGGUGGGGGUUGGAAAGUUUCGGCGGUUGGGGAUGGACUCGCGGCUUAUCAGCUUGUUGGUGGGGUAGUGGCUUACCAAGGCUUUGACGGGUAGCCGGCCUGAGAGGGUGACCGGCGACAUUGGGACUGAGAUACGGCCCAGACUGCUACGGGAGGCAGCAGUGGAGAAUAUUGCACAAUGGACGGAAGCCUGAUGCAGCAACGCCGCGUGCGGGAUGACGGCCUUCGGGUUGUGAACCGCUUUCGCCUGUGACGAAGAGUGAGUGACGGUAAUGGGUAAAGAAGCACCGGCUAACUACGUG